rnacentral:rRNA from 1 species
AUUGAACGCUGGCGGCAUGCCUUACACGUGCAAGUCGAACGGUAACAGGUCUUCGGAUGCUGACGAGUGGCGAACGGGUGAGUAAUACAUCGGAACGUGCCCGAGAGUGGGGGAUAACGAGGCGAAAGCUUUGCUAAUACCGCAUACGAUCCCAGGAUGAAAGCAGGGGACCGCAAGGCCUUGCGCUCACGGAGCGGCCGAUGGCAGAUUAGGUAGUUGGUGGGAUAAAAGCUUACCAAGCCGACGAUCUGUAGCUGGUCUGAGAGGACGACCAGCCACACUGGGACUGAGACACGGCCCAGACUCCUACGGGAGGCAGCAGUGGGGAAGUUUGGACGAUGGGCGCAAGCCUGAUCCAGCCAUGCCGCGUGCAGGAUGAAGGCCUUCGGGUUGUAAACCGCUUUUGUACGGAACGAAAAGACUCUGGUUAAUACCUGGGGUCCAUGACGGUACCGUAAGAAUAAGCACCGGCUAACUACGUGCCAGCCGCCGCCGUAA